rnacentral:rRNA from 1 species
AAACCGUUCAGGGGUAAACCUGCGAAACUCGAAUGAACGAACGGAGAGAUUCAUCGUUAUUCCGCGGCGCGCUGGCACGUCUGCGAUGCGGUUCGGCUUCGGUCGAUUCGCACGCGAUUGGCCAGUUCGCGUCCGUGGACGGCGUGCACUUCUCUCUUAGUAAUACAUCGCGACCCGUUAGAUGUCGGUCUAAGCGUCGCACGGGAGCCACCGUUGUGCGGUUUCGGCCGCCGAUGGUGACCGUCGCGAACGCCGACCGGCUGUCUGACGGUAUAAUGUUUAGGAAUCGCGCACGCGUUUAACGCGUCCGGCCCGACGCAAGGUAUCGUAGUCAUCUGUUUCCUGCCCAAGUGCGGACGUGGAUGCUGCGCGCCUGUGUAUCGCCGCCGUGCAGUCUCGGACUGUGCGCGUCUCUGUCUGCGAUGAUUCAGUUUCGGGCAC